GUUGAUUUAGCAUAAGAAGUGCAUUUGUUUUAAGAUCAAAAGAUAUUACGUCAACA
rnacentral:tRNA from 1 species